GGUCGAGACCAUUCAUUUGCAGUCACUGGUGGAUACGUAAAAAGGAUGAAGGCGUCUCGGGGGCAUCCCAGAGGAGUCGACUCUCCAUCCAAGGGUAAAAAGAACGCGAUGCCCCACCGGAAGUCCGUGGCACGAAAUGAAAAAUUUCCACUCACAGGUAUGCAGAAGAAGCGCUUCUCCGUUGCUAGCCGACGCCUGGUUGGCCGGGGCGAUUCCUGGUCGCACCGUAAGAUAACUCUCUCUAAGCAAACUGCUAGCUGAUGUCGAUGGUGAUUACGAUUACUUCGCCCGCACACAGGCCAAGGCGAAGCCGCUCGAGCCGGCCGGGCCUACUCUGGAAGCGCAGCGCGUCCCGCACGGAAGGACGCCGUCCAUGUCCCGCAGGCAGAGCCUCGUCGGGGGCCCGGCCACUAGGACCCGCGCUUCGCGGCCACGUCGGGCAAGACUUCCGAGUCACGCUGGAAUGCGAGGACCAUCCAACUGAGCCCAGACGUGAGAGCCUUCAUGGAACAACUGGCUCAGCAGGCGAACAAGGACGAGGGCCGCAGAACUGGCGCACCGCAUCGCGCGGCAUUGUCGCCGCGUGAGGAUCCUUUCGGUGCGCCCGGUCGGCAGCUCGAUCACCGAUGUAGGUCCCUACAAGACCCACGAAUAGGUCUUCACCUUGCAACAGUCAAGUUGCGCGGGAACUGACCGCAGCAGUGGCGACACAUCCGGCCAGCGUGCUCCUGACGA